rnacentral:lncRNA from 1 species
CUUGUUCAUGGGCCCUUUCCCUCUAUAUUUGAACCCCAUGGAUCGUCUCUCAAGUCGUUCCCUUUGGUUGCUUACAAUCUACCACGCUUCCCUGCAAGUUCACGCCCUCGUGAACGGAAGCUGAGAGCUGCAGCUCUCCCGAGAGCCCCGCUCUCUUGACACCCUACCCCUCGGGUAGAGCCCAGUGGGAACAAACUGGACCAGCUAGAUGUCAAUCAACAUGUGGUGUGAUUCCCUUAGCCAACCAACAGAGUUGGACCCGAGACCUCUCUGAUACCAAAUGUAAGGUCCUGAGUCCAACCCAGUACUAUUCAAACCCAAGGACGCUUAACCCCAAAUAUCCCAAGACCCUUAACCGAUUGGAAAAGG